rnacentral:rRNA from 1 species
GAUGAACGCUGGCGGCGUGCUUAACACAUGCAAGUCGAACGGAAAGGCCCAAGCUUGCUUGGGUACUCGAGUGGCGAACGGGUGAGUAACACGUGGGUGAUCUGCCCUGCACUUCGGGAUAAGCCUGGGAAACUGGGUCUAAUACCGGAUAGGACCACUUCUUGGAUGUUGUGGUGGAAAGUUUUUUCGGUGUGGGAUGAGCUCGCGGCCUAUCAGCUUGUUGGUGGGGUAAUGGCCUACCAAGGCGUCGACGGGUAGCCGGCCUGAGAGGGUGUACGGCCACAUUGGGACUGAGAUACGGCCCAGACGCCUACGGGAGGCAGCAGUGGGGAAUAUUGCACAAUGGGCGCAAGGCUGAUGCAGCGAAGACGCGUGGGGGAUGACGGCCUUCGGGUUGUAAACUCCUUUCGCUAGGGACGAAGCGUUUUGUGACGGUACCUGGAGAAGAAGCACCGGCUAACUACGUG